GAGUGGCUUAUGCUUUCGCAAUUCGAUGGUUGCCUUUUUGAUGAUUGAUGCAAGAGAUUUUUUCACCACUUUCUUUUUCUGUUGCUUUGCUCCCAUACCAAAUUUCUUUUUUAGCUUCAUCAUGUUUGUAACAAAAUAUGAUGCAGCCCUCUCACUAAUGCUACUAUCCGCUGCUUUUACUCGAUCCCAAGCCCUAUUGUUCAGGUCAGGAGCUUUCGUUUCCCCCCCGCGCGACUCCGAAGCGCUCCCGCUUCUGCAAAGCUCCUCAGCCCGCUCUCGCUUGUAGGGGUCAGAGGGUAAGGGCAGAGAAAACAAAUAGGAAAAUAUAAAUAAGUAUAAUCGUAAGUUUAAAUGAUAGAACCGACCCAUCGAAACGCAUAUGCCGCGACUAGAGUGUAGGGUAGCGCCUUCCAGAACAUGCCGUUUUUCUUCUACCUGCAUUCGCAGCGCCAGCGAAAUCGUACGAUUUUUUGCUUAUUUUUCCUUCCUCCAGUCCUUCGCUCGCGAGCAUCGAGAGCGCGAGAGAGGAUUUGGGAAAAGUUCCGUAGCUUUUGGCUCGUUUGCUAUGCAAGGCACGCUGCGUGUAGAGAAAUUUUGUGACGCUCGCUCACUUGAAAUUGAAAACCAGAGCAAAGCACACGCAUCGUAGAUCAUUUUUACUAUAAUAAUUCCGGCACGUGGAGUAUACAGUUUCAAUCGAAUUAAUAGACCAGUGACAAAACUUAAUAAGUGUUGUGCACGAGUGAGAACGGGGCUAGUUUGGCGCUAGGCGACGGCUCUUACGUCCUUCGCUAGGCGUAGGCGUAUCGCCGGCGUGGCAGCCACACGCGGCAGAAGUUGGCGAUCAUCGACGUGCAACUCAACGCGGUGCAACCGAGCGGCCAUAACCCUACUCUUUGGAAGCCCUACGGCGGCAGCGACGUCGACGUGCAGCCCAACGCUGUGCGACACGAGCGGCCAUAACCUAACUUUUCGGAGGCCCUACAGCGGCAGAGACGUCGACGUGCGGCCAACGCAGCACGUGCGCGUAACCCUACUUUUUGGGUACCUCUGCUUUGCCACGUCGGCUGCCAAGGAGCUAUAGCGAUCCGAGUGCGACCGCACUAAACCGGGAGCGAGAAAUCUCCAAGAGUCAGACCAGAGGCGGCCUGUGUCUGAGUUCUCGGAGUAAUGUAACCGGCCUCGUGCAGCCCCAACUAAGGCGAUUCGGCUGUAUGGACAGCGGCUAAGCAUUACCUUUUCGAGCAUAAGCCAGUAGGAACAGUGGAGGUGCACCUAAGGUAGCUGAGCGGAGACUAGGCAGGAGCAGGCGCAGCCGGAUAGAGAGCUCGCUUGCGCGGCAGGCAUGUGACCUGUCGAAGAAGUUGGAGGCGCGUCGCGGCGAGCUCACGCUGGAUGAUUCCAGUAACCCGAAGGAUGUAGAGAAGUUUUGAGAUCGAUUAAAUUUAGAGUAAUGCGUAACGUUAGCUAGAAAGUAA